rnacentral:rRNA from 1 species
AUUGAACGCUGGCGGCAGGCCUAACACAUGCAAGUCGAGCGAGCGGCGGACGGGUGAGUAAUGUAUGGGGACUGCCCGAUAGAGGGGGAUAACUACUGGAAACGGUGGCUAAUACCGCAUACUAUCGGAUAACCCAUAUGGGAUUAGCUAGUAGGUGGGGUAAAGGCUCACCUAGGCGACGAUCUCUAGCUGGUCUGAGAGGAGGAUCACCCACACGGGGACUGGAAAACGUCCCAGCCUCUUAGGGAGGCAGAGGGGGGAAAUAUUGCACAAGGGGGGAAAGCCUGAUGCAGCCAUGCGAGGUGUAGGAAGAAGGCCUUAGGGUUGUAAAGUACUUUCAGCAGGGAGGCGUUACCCGAAGAAGAAGCACCGGCUAACUCCGUGCAAGCAGCGGCGUAAUAC